rnacentral:rRNA from 1 species
GCAUAUCCAUAGCGGAGGAAAAGAACUAACAAGGGAUUCCCCUAGUAACUGCGAGUGAAGCGGGAAAAGCUCAAAUUUAAAAUCUGGCGGUCUUUGGCCGUCCGAGUUGUAGUCUGGAGAAGUGUUUUCCGUGCUGGACCGUGUACAAGUCUCUUGGAACAGAGCGUCAUAGAGGGUGAGAAUCCCGUCUUUGACACGGACUACCAGUGCUUUGUGAUGCGCUCUCAAAGAGUCGAGUUGUUUGGGAAUGCAGCUCAAAAUGGGUGGUAAAUUCCAUCUAAAGCUAAAUAUUGGCGAGAGACCGAUAGCGAACAAGUACCGUGAGGGAAAGAUGAAAAGCACUUUGGAAAGAGAGUUAAACAGUACGUGAAAUUGCUGAAAGGGAAACGCUUGAAGUCAGUCGCGUUGAUCAGAACUCAGCCUUGCUUUUGCUUGGUGCAUUUUCUGGUUGACGGGCCAGCAUCGAUUUUGACCAUCGGAAAAAGGCCAGGGGAAUGUGGCACCUUCGGGUGUGUUAUAGCCCUUGGUCACAUACGGUGGUUGGGAUCGAGGACCGCAGCACGCCUUUAUGGCCGGGGUUCGCCCACGUUCGUGCUUAGGAUGCUGGCGUAAUGGCUUUAAACGACCCGUCUUGAAACACGGACCAAGGAGUCUAACAUGCCUGCGAGUGUUUGGGUGGAAAACCCGAGCGCGUAAUGAAAGUGAAAGUUGAGAUCCCUGUCGUGGGGAGCAUCGACGCCCGGACCUGAACUUCGGUGAUGGCUCUGCGGUAGAGCAUGUAUGUUGGGACCCGAAAGAUGGUGAACUAUGCCUGAAUAGGGUGAAGCCAGAGGAAACUCUGGUGGAGGCUCGUAGCGAUUCUGACGUGCAAAUCGAUCGUCAAAUUUGGGUAUAGGGGCGAAAGACUAAUCGAACCAUCUAGUAGCUGGUCUGCGA